CAAUUAAUAGUUUAUUAAAAUAAUAAUUUUGGAGAUUAUUGAUAUAAAAUAUGUUUUAUUUAAUUGA
rnacentral:tRNA from 1 species